GAUGAACGCUAGCGGCAGGCCUAAUACAUGCAAGUCGAACGGGAUUAGGGAGCUUGCUCCCUAUGAGAGUGGCGCACGGGUGCGUAACACGUAUGCAACCUACCUUCAACAGGGGGAUAGCCUUCCGAAAGGGAGAUUAAUACCGCAUAACAUAAUGAAACGGCAUCGUUUUAUUAUCAAACGAAUAGGGUUGAAGAUGGGCAUGCGUCCGAUUAGUUUGUUGGUGAGGUAACGGCUCACCAAGACUACGAUCGGUAGGGGAUCUGAGAGGAUUGCCCCCCACACUGGUACUGAGACACGGACCAGACUCCUACGGGAGGCAGCAGUAAGGAAUAUUGGUCAAUGGACGCAAGUCUGAACCAGCCAUGCCGCGUGCAGGAUGAAGGCGUUAUGCGUUGUACACUGCUUUUAUACAGGAAGAAACGACUCUUGCGAGAGGCAUUGACGGUACUGUAUGAAUAAGCACCGGCUAACUCCGUGCCAGCAGCCGCGGUAACAC
rnacentral:rRNA from 1 species